GGUUUAAUUCGAAGCAACGCGAAGAACCUUACCAGGUCUUGACAUCUUCUGACAAUUCCAGAGAUGGAACGUUCCCUUCGGGGACAGAAUGACAGGUGGUGCAUGGUUGUCGUCAGCUCGUGUCGUGAGAUGUUGGGUUAAGUCCCGCAACGAGCGCAACCCUUAUUGUCAGUUGCCAUCAUUAAGUUGGGCACUCUGGCGAGACUGCGGUGACAAACCGGA
rnacentral:rRNA from 1 species